UACAUGUGGGGCAAGCGUUGUUCGGAAUUACUGGGCAUAAAGCGUGCGCAGGCGGUUUUGUAAGUCUGUCGUGAAAUCCCCGGGCUUAACCUGGGAAUGGCGAUGGAGACUGCAAGGCUAGAGUUUGGCAGAGGGGGGUAGAAUUCCACGUGUAGCAGUGAAAUGCGUAGAGAUGUGGAGGAACACCGAUGGCGAAGGCAGCCCCCUGGGUCAAAACUGACGCUCAUGCACGAAAGCGUGGGGAGCAAACAGG
rnacentral:rRNA from 1 species